UACGAAGGGGGCUAGCGUUGCUCGGAAUUACUGGGCGUAAAGGGCGCGUAGGCGGUUUGGUCAGUCAGGCGUGAAAUUCCUGGGCUCAACCUGGGGGCUGCGCUUGAUACGGCCAGACUUGAGGACGGAAGAGGCUCGCGGAAUUCCCAGUGUAGAGGUGAAAUUCGUAGAUAUUGGGAAGAACACCGGUGGCGAAGGCGGCGAGCUGGUCCGUUACUGACGCUGAGGCGCGACAGCGUGGGGAGCAAACAGG
rnacentral:rRNA from 1 species